UCUCAUGACUACCCCCACAGGUUUAUCAAUGCCCGCCGGCGGAUAGUUCAGCCUCUCAUAGAUCAAUCAAACCGGGCGGGUGCCAUGCCGCACUUUCCAGGUCCAGCGGGCGCGUACUCCCCGGACGCGGCGUCCAUGGGCUACAUGAUGGACGGCCAACAGCACAUGUUCCGCUCAGACCCUUACACGGACCACGCAGCGGCCGCUGCCUACUACGGCCACCCAGCGGCAGCGUACAACUAUCCCCACCAUCUAUAGGUUCGCGUGUAGCAGCGUAAGUAGGCUUGAGCGAUGUGGUCCCUCACGCCGCGUGCAGCCCCAUCCCCCUCCCCCCUCCCCCCGUGUCGAGUGGCCGAAGGUGUACAAGUGCGGCGGCCGCCGGCGGCAGAGAGGACUGUCAGCGCGCCGGCGGUGCCGGCCAGUGGCGGCGGUGUCAGAGAAAACAGUGUACAUAAACCUUGGGUGUCUUGGUGAGUUUGUAAGCACGGCCAGGGGUGGCGCGGGCAGGGCAGGGCAUGACACCCUUCUUCUCCUCCACACACGCCCGCCGGGUCGCUGUGAGGCUCGUCUCACCCCUCACCCCCCCAGAACACCACCGGCGCCAGCCCGUGUGUCUGGCGUAUUCCGUAACGCCAGGAUCAGGAGGGCGAGGCGCCAGCCCUCUCAUGACGUCAUACGGAUCACAGCAGAAGGAGCAGCACCUCUCCAUGACGUCACUGUAAUCGACACCAACGUCAGCAGCAUCGGCAGCAGCAGGAGUGAAGCGACGCGCCAUCUUUGGUGCAACAGCUGCACUAACGGUGCGAGGUCCUCGUUUUGAACAACCUCUCAAGUGCCGCGUAGCGUCACAUACCUGAACUAAUUUGAAAGUGAUAUAUGUAAUUAUUUUGCACCAGAUUUUCGUUUUACGAACAAUUCCUAAGCAAUUAGAAAACAAAAACAAUGGCGAAUAUUCAGUGCAGUGGUGACUCUCAAGAGAACAUUAACGGUAAAAGCCACAAUAAUCCGCCAAGUACUCAUAAGCCAACAUCCACACCGAGAUGCGCCACUGGUCGGGUCAGACAGAUGACCUAAGAUGACCUAGCUCGCCUUUGUGACCCCCCCAAACUCAGGAAAAGUGUGAUGGCAGGACGACCCUGGCAUGAUGGUAAUUUAGCCAACCCACAGUUAAAAAUAUGUAGCGUGAACACGCAUACACGCACUCUUAUAAACCACACACACACACACACACACACACACACACACACACACACACACACACACACACACACACACACACACACACACACACACACCCUCAUUAUCUCCGAAUAUGAUUUUAUCCCCACCAAAGUCUUGCACUUCUUGACACAGCCAGCAGCACCUCUCAUCCUUCCCCAGCUCUCGAACCUAAACCAAUCAUGUAUCCUAAACUGCCAUCUUAUGGCUCAUCAAUUACCUCACUACACACAACCCCACGUUCCCCUCAUACAUACAUCCCUUCAGCUCCCUCAACCAGUUCCCUCUCAUCAACCCAACCUUCGCACUCUGAUAUUGCAGAAAGUAAUGGAGACUGUGGCGGCUGUAUACGAUAGCGAAUUCAGUAUACGAUUGGAGUUUUCAUCCUGUAUGUACUUUGUACGUUACUCUUGUAUAUUGUGCAUUGUACAUUGGUGGUUUACACAACUUUUAGGGGAAGCGACUUUCUGCAAUAGCUUGUGGGUUUUAAGAAAGCCUAAAAAAAUACCUCGAUUUUAAAAAACAAGCUUCGAUUUCUAACUUUUGCGACAGAUAUCAUCAUCUGGUACGAUGGUAAACUGUGUGGUCAGAGAGAAAAAAAAAAGACUGGUGAUAAUCCCAAUAAAUGUAAUAUAAACGCUUUAGUGGUCACGAGUCCCCACAGCCGACCCCCCGAAGGAUGCCAGCACAGAUCAGUGGUCCCAGAUCCGAAUUGGCAAGUGCUAGCAAAUUGGUUCCGCAACGUUGUUGGGCCUGGCAACAGUGGUUGGCAGAACACAGACAUUGGUGUCUAAGGGGGACUCAUUACUACUCCUACUUAACUUUGUAUAAUAGGUAACAUUUAAAUAAAAAUAAAUCAAGCAAGAAGUUAAUAAAAAAAAUAACCAAAAACACACUUUUCACACAUGCAGCAAUAUUGAUAUUAUUUCUGUGAUGUUCUGUGUUAAUGCCGUGUGUCCGGUGCCCUUGUAGAGCCCAGACGACACACCCGUGACAGAGUAUGUGAGCGACUUGUUGCACAAUGUCGACCACAGUUUAACACGCUCACCUCCAGCGAUGACCAUAACCGAGUACUGCUUUGUAACCGUUCAUUUUUUAUACUUUUAUCAUUUAUUAUUAUUAUUAUUAUUAUUAUUAUUAUUAUUAUUAUUGUUAUCAUUUAUAUUUUCCUAUCUCAUAAAAGGUAUCCAGAUAAUUGUGUGCCCCCAACCCCCUUUCCCAUCUUUAAGUGCACAUUCAAAAAAUGUAUGAAUUUAGUUGUAUCCAUUUUGUAAAUCCUAAAUUAAGCUACACUAAAAUUUAUAAAGUUUUAAAUAAAAAAUCAUCCCUGGUAACCCACCACGUACAUUGAUGUUAACUUUAUACAGUAUCAUCAGUCGAAUUCAUUGUAUAAAUACAACAGUUGUGGGUAUUGCAAUUAAUGAAAGUUAAAACUAUUUUUAAUGUGAGAGAGCGAGAGAGAGAGAGAGAGAAAGACUUAGCCCCCUUGUUUUAUCAGCUCAUGUGCACACUCAGUCUGAUGUAUUUUUUUUAUUUAGUAUCUUUUUAUAUUUUUUAUUCAACUGUUCAUUAUAUGAAUCUUAAAGGAAAGCGACUGAAAUGGGUUUUCUUGUUACUGUGCUCUUGUGUUGCCACAUUGUAAUAUUAUAAAGCUGUUUUUGGCGUCAGUGGACCCCGUAUGGUUAGGUAACUGUGUAGUAGUAAAAAUCUAAUCGAUUUAUGAGCUGCUUUCCCUUGUUUAUUGUACAUAGUGGACGUUCCCCUGUGGCAGUGACUGGGCCGCUCCUCUUCCUGUGACUGCAGUGUAGAGUGACAUUUCUACAGUGGUUGUAUAUUUGUAUCCUAAAUUCAACUUCUCAUGAAGAAAACAUUGUUACAACAAAGUUCAAAAUGUCUGCAAUUCUGUAAAAUACAUUUUUUAGCUCUUAUAAUAGAAUCAUAAGAAUUUAGUUGAUCCGUUAUCGAAAUUCUUCUCUCCAGUCUGCAUUCAAUGAAAGCAUUAAAUGCUGGGUAUUGUGUAUAUGAUUUUUCCAAAAAUAAACGUGUUUUAAACUAUG